rfam:Danio rerio chromosome 4, GRCz11 reference primary assembly.
UUACAGGUUCUUCUUGGAACCAUUAUAAAAUAAUGUGAAAAAUUAG